UGGCGGACGGGGGAGUAAUGUCUGGGAAACUGCCUGAUGGAGGGGGGUAACUACUGGAAACGGUAGCUAAUACCGCAUAACGUCGCAAGACCAAAGAGGGGGACCUUCGGGCCUCUUGCCAUCGGAUGUGCCCAGAUGGGAUUAGCUAGUAGGUGGGGUAAAGGCUCACCUAGGCGACGAUCCCUAGCUGGUCCGAGAGGAUGACCAGCCACACUGGAACUGAGACACGGUCCAG
rnacentral:rRNA from 1 species